UACGAAGGGGGCUAGCGUUGCUCGGAAUCACUGGGCGUAAAGCGCACGUAGGCGGCUUUUUAAAGUCAGGGGUGAAAUCCUGGAGCUCAACUCCAGAACUGCCUUUGAUACUGAGAAGCUUGAGUCCGGGAGAGGUGAGUGGAACUGCGAGUGUAGAGGUGAAAAUUCGUAGAUAUUCGCAAGAACACCAGUGGCGAAGGCGGCUCACUGGCCCGGGUACUGACGCUGAGGUGCGAAAGCGUGGGGGAGCAAACAGG
rnacentral:rRNA from 1 species